CUAAGGAGCAACUAGCAUUCAUUCAUUUCAGGGCGCAUGUCCUGGUGGUGGUGUUCAGUUCAGCCCGUUUCUGCCACUUGUGUUGGUAGGCGGGCGCUCAUGGGUGGAAUGCCAACGGAUUAUGGCCUGGAACUUGGUUGUUCCCUGGUAUUGAGUACGCACUGCUUUUGGUGGUGUUGGAAAGAUGUGGGGUUCUGGUCGGGUUCGGGUCUAUGGCACACUGUUGGGCCCUGAAACAACAGGCCCGAUUCCCUGGUCACUGGCUUUUGGUUGGUGGUGGGGGGUUGGUUCUGGUUUGUUUUGGCUCCCGCGCAUGGCCUAGACCACGAAACAUGUUUUUGUGGUGGUGGGUGUGACGGGGUUGUUGUUUGACAACUGCAUAGUGGACGCGAGCAUCUUGCAAGGACGAUGGAUGCCAUGUGAUUGAUACUCUUUCGGGGGUGUUGGUUAUGUGGUUUUUGUUGUUUUUGCGAAAGCAAUUUAUUUGAGAAUCCCCAGCAGGGCAUCCUUUUAGGGUGUGGUUGUUGGUGGUUCUCUCGAUCAAAUGCUCUUGUGAAAAGACCUUUUUGUG
rnacentral:misc_RNA from 1 species